rnacentral:lncRNA from 1 species
AGAGAGCAGGAGCAUAUGGACAGAGGAGAGGCAGAAGCCGGGCUCUGCAGGGCUGUGGAAGCUGGAGGAGUAGGUUGUCCCAGAGUCCCGUACCCCUGGGGAUCCAGGAAGUUACACUGAGGUGAGGCCAACUGCUCUGUGUGUGGAAGCCAGAGAAGAAAGCAGCACAGAACAGAUGCAAACCAAGGAGGCUGGAAGAUAAGAGCAGAGCCAUCAGGACACGAGCCCCUCGCGGAGCUUCCUGUGUGCAGCAUGGAUCUAAAGCUGGUGGAUGCAGGGGGGUGAACAAGACAACAUCUUCACUUCCUGCAUGCUGAUGGCAGAAGUGAGACAUCAGCGAAGAAACAUCACGAUCACCAAAUUACGAUGAACACCAUGGAGGAAACAAAGGACACUGUGACACCAAGGAAGGAAGGGAGGUUACUUUUCAUAGUGGCUGUAAAUAGAACUGAAGGCUGAAAAACAGCUGUUAAAAUGGCUUGUUUGUUUGAAGAUGAAUGAGAGUACACAAUAAAAGGUAAUUCUCCCUCCCAUCCCCAA